UGGGGAAUUUUGGACAAUGGGCGCAAGCCUGAUCCAGCCAUGCCGCGUGAGUGAAGAAGGCCUUCGGGUUGUAAAGCUCUUUCAGUUGGGAAGAAACGAUUGCAACUAAUAAUUGUAAUUAAUGACGGUACCGACAGAAGAAGCACCGGCUAACUACGUGCCAGCAGCCGCGGUAAUACGUAGGGUGCGAGCGUUAAUCGGAAUUACUGGGCGUAAAGGGUGCGCAGGCGGUUUUGUAAGUCAGAUGUGAAAUCCCCGGGCUUAACCUGGGAAUGGCGUUUGAAACUGCAAGGCUAGAGUGUAGCAGAGGGGAGUGGAAUUCCGGCGUGUAGCAGUGAAAUGCGUAGAUAUGCGGAGGAACACCGAUGGCGAAGGCAGCUCCCUGGGCUAACACUGACGCUC
rnacentral:rRNA from 1 species